rnacentral:lncRNA from 1 species
CUAGCCGAUGCAUCGGCUCUCAGUAGUAACGUGCUGAUGUCAAGGGCCCUACGGCUAGCAGUACGAGGGGCAAAGGUAAAGAUCUAUCGGACCUAGUAUAUAUAAAGCAAGUAAAAUAUGCAAGAUCUAACCAGCCAAUACGAUCAGAUAACUGGUGAAUGUUUAAAUAAGGUUAAAGAGCCGAUGACAACCUAACCGGAUCUAAGCCGUUCGAUAACUGUGAACGCUUGAUAGAACUAAGAGAUCGAUACAAUGUAACUUAAUAAAACCAAACAACUCAAUAACUGUGAGCAACCGUCGAAGUAGAAUAUUGGACAAAACCUAGAAAGUUCUACUUGCAAUCUAAGAUAACUCAAUAACUAGCCACACAACCGAAUAUCAAAGUAUAAGACUUAACUUAGAAAAUUCUGAUAGAGAUUGUAAUGACUAGGUGACGAUACUUACAAGCUCGCCUGAGAUUGAAACCGAUGCAGCCGUGCAAGCAAGAAGGAACUCGUCGAAACUACUCUACUC